AUUGAACGCUGGCGGAAUGCUUUACACAUGCAAGUCGAACGGCAGCACGGGGACAUCCCUGGUCGCGCGUUGCCGACGGGUGAGUGAUACAUCCGAACGUGCCCGGUCUUUAGGGAUAACGUAACUUCAGUUACCCUAAGACCGCAUCCGAUCUUAUGAUGAACGCGGGGGACCUUCGGUCCUCGCGCGAUUGGCUCUCCCGAUGUCAGAUUAGGUAGUUGGUGGGGUAACGGCCUACCAAGCCGACGAUCUGUAGCUGGUCUGAGAGGACGACCAGCCACACUGGGACUGAGACACGGCCCAGACUCCUACGGGAGGCAGCAGUGGGGAAUUUUGGACAAAGGGCGCAAGCCUGAUCCAGCAAUGCCGCGUGCAGGACGAAGGCCUUCGGGUUGUAAACUGCUUUUGUACGGAACGAAAAGGUUCUGGAUAAUACCUGGGGGUCAUGACGGUACCGUAAGAAUAAGCACCGGCUAACUACGUG
rnacentral:rRNA from 1 species